ACCCUCCUGUUGUCUUUGGGUCAAAUUUGAUCCAUUUUCCACAAAAAAAAUUCUAUAUCAGAAAUUUGGGUUUCUUUUAAUCAAAUUUUGACAAAAAAGUAAUGUGGACGGUUCCUACAAUGCUCUUCACAAGUCAAAUAUAUGAUUAGUUCACUACUUU